UACCUGGUUGAUCCUGCCAGUAGUCAUAUGCUUGUCUCGCAGAUUAAGCCAUGCAUGUCUUAGUGUAAAUAUUUUACAGUGAAACUGUGGAUGGCUCAUUACAACAGUUAUUGUUUGCUUGGGAAAUUCGUCUACGGAUAACCGUGGAAAUGCUACAGCUAAUACGUAAACACUUUCGGGUGUAGCAUAUUACUGUGAUGAAACCGCGUUUACGCGUUUCUUGAAUACUUUUAUGCAUAAAUCGUGCACUUUGCACGAAAUCCCAUCAAAGUUUCUGACCCAUCAGGUUUCGACGGUAAGGUAUUGGCUUACCGUGCCGAUAACGGGUAACGGGGGAUUAGGGUUCGAUCCCGGAGAGGGAGCUUGAGAUAUGGCUACCACAUCUAAGGAAGGCAGCAGGCGCGCAAAUUACCUAUCCUUGACACAAGGAGGUAGUAAACAGAAAUAAUGACGCGUGAUUCAGAUCGUGCGAUCGGAAUGAGUGGUUCCUAAAUAGAACUACGAACUCAAUUGGAGGAAAAGUCUGGUGCCAGCACCCGCGGUAAUACCAGCUCCAAUAGCGUAUAUUAUUGAUGUUGCAGUUGAAACGUUCGUAGUCAACUUCUGUCUGCCUCGAUAGCUUCACAUCGAUGAUGACGGGUUGAUCAGGCGGAUAUGGCGACGCUUUGCUUUGUGUUUCACAAAGUGAUGUCUGUCGUUGUACUUUGAGUGAAUCGGCGUGUUCCACGCAAGCUUUAUGCUUUGAACGAUUUACCAUAGUAUACAUAGAGUGUGAAGUCAGUUCCCCGUUUCGUCGGAGGUGACUUUGAUACUCAUAAGAACGGUUGAGGGCAUUCGUAUUCAACUGCCAGAGGUGAAAUUCUUUGAUUAGUUGGGGACGAACCAUUGCGAAAGCAUCUGCCAAGGACGUAUCUUUUGAUCAAGAACGAAAGUUAGGUGAUCGAAGAUGAUUAGAUACCGUUGUAGUCCUAACUAUAAACUCUACUAUCCAAGAGUUGGAUUGGUGGCUUAUCGCCUCUCCAGUACUUUCUGAGAAAUCAAAGUCUUUGAGUUCUGGGGGGAGUAUAGUUGCAAGGCCGAAACUUAAAGGAAUUGACGGAAGGGCACCACCAGGAGUGGAACUUGCGGCUUAAUUUGACUCAACACGGGAAAACUUACGAGGAUAAGACAAACGAAGGAUUGACAGAUUGAUCGCUCUUUCUUGAUUGUUUGGGUGGUGGUGCAUGGCCGUUCUUAGUUCGUGGAUUAAUUUGUCUGGUUAAUUCCGUUAACGAACGAGACUUUAACUUGCUAGUUGGGUGAUUGUAUUAAUUCCAUUCAUCUGCUAGAAGGACCAUGUGUGUCUAACACAAGGAAGCGUGAAGCAAUAACAGGUCUGUGAUGCCCUUAGAUAUCCUCGGCAGCACGCGUGUUACAAUGAUGCAUAGAACAUGUUUCGCCACUUGUAAAAGUGGUGCAAUCAUCAAUAUGCAUCAACCCAGGGAUUGUUUGUUGUAAUGUCAAGCAUCAACGAGGAAUUCCUAGUAAGCGCGUAUCAUUAAUUCGCGUUGAUUACGUCCCUGCCCUUUGUACACGCCGCCUGUCGCAUCUAUUGAUUAGGUUGUAUCAUGAGUUGAGCGGACAUGACUUUUUGAUUUUCAAGAAGUUGUAAAAGCUUUGCAAAUGGUAUUACCCAGAAACAGAUAAAGUCAUAACACGGCAGCUGUAGGUGAACCUGCAGGAGGAUCAA
rnacentral:rRNA from 1 species